rnacentral:rRNA from 1 species
GACGAACGCUGGCGGCGUGCUUAACACAUGCAAGUCGAGCGGAAAGGCCCUUCGGGGUACUCGAGCGGCGAACGGGUGAGUAACACGUGAGCAACCUGCCCCUGACUCUGGGAUAAGCCCGGGAAACUGGGUCUAAUACCGGAUAUGACUUCGGAUGGCAUCAUCUGGGGUGGAAAGUUUUUUCGGUCAGGGAUGGGCUCGCGGCCUAUCAGCUUGUUGGGUGGGGUAGUGGCCUACCAAGGCGACGACGGGUAGCCGCCUGAGAGGGCGACCGGCCACACUGGGACUGAGACACGGCCCAGACUCCUACGGGAGGCAGCAGUGGGGAAUAUUGCACAAGUGGGGGAACCCUNAUGCAGCGACGCCGCGUGCGGGAUGAC